AUUGAACGCUGGCGGCAGGCCUAACACAUGCAAGUCGAGCGGAGCGGCGGACGGGUGAGUAUUUCCUAGGAAUAUGCCUGGUAGUGGGGGAUAACGUCCGGAAACGGGCGCUAAUACCGCAUACUAUAAGUUGAGCCUAGGUCGGAUUAGCUCGUUGGUGGGGUAAAGGCCUACCAAGGCGAAGAUCCGUAACUGGUCUGAGAGGAUGAUCCGUGACAGUGGAACUGAGACACGGUCCAGACCUCUACGGUAGGGAGCAGGGGGGAAUAUUGGGCAAGGGACGAAGGCCUGAUCCAGCCAAGCCGCGUAGGGUGAUAAGGUCAUGGGAUUGGAGAGCACUUUAAGUUGGUAGGCGUUACCAAAAGAAUAAGCACCGGCUAACUUCGUGCCAGCAGCCGCGGUAAUAC
rnacentral:rRNA from 1 species